rnacentral:rRNA from 1 species
UACGUAGGUCGCAAGCGUUGUCCGGAUUUACUGGGCGUAAAGAGCGCGCAGGCGGCUGGUCAAGUCCGAUGUGAAAUCUCCCGGCUCAACUGGGAAACUGCAUCGGAAACUGACCGGCUUGAAGGUGGGAGAGGGUAGUGGAAUUCCCGGUGUAGUGGUGAAAUGCGUAGAUAUCGGGAGGAACACCAGUGGCGAAGGCGGCAUCCUGGACCGAUCACUGACACUGAGGCGCGAAAGCUAGGGGAGCAAACGGG